rnacentral:lncRNA from 1 species
UGUGGGUCCAGAUGGAGAACUCCCAGCUACCUCUCCAGAACCAUAUCUACAGGCAUGCUGCCAUGUUUCCCACCAUUAUGAUAAUGGACUAAACCUCUGAACUGUAAGCCAGCCCCAAGAAAGAAGGCUUGCUCCAAAAUAAAUUGCAAUGAUUUGGAAGCUAAGCUUUAACAUGAAGCUCAAUACAAGUGUCUGCAGAAGCAUGAUACUACCUGUUGCCUGCGAGUCAAGAUGUAGGACUCUUAGCUCCUGCUUAGUUCCAGUUCCAUGUCUGCCUGCAUGCCACCAUGUCACACCAUAAUGAGAAGGGACUAAAUCUCUGAAAAUGUCAUGGAUCACAGCACAUCCUCA